rnacentral:rRNA from 1 species
GAACACCAGUGGCGAAGGCGACUUUCUGGACUGUAACUGACGCUGAUGCACGAAAGCGUGGGUAGCGAACAGGAUUAGAUACCCUGGUAGUCCACGCCGUAAACGAUGGAUACUAGGUGUAGGAGGUAUCGACCCCUUCUGUGCCGCAGUUAACGCAUUAAGUAUCCCGCCUGGGGAGUACGUGCACAAGCAUGAAACUCAAAGGAAUUGACGGGGACCCGCACAAGCAGCGGAGCAUGUGGUUUAAUUCGAAGCAACGCGAAGAACCUUACCAGGGCUUGACAUCCCUCUGAUCGGUAUAGAGAUAUACCUUUCCUUCGGGACAGGGGUGACAGGUGGUGCAUGGUUGUCGUCAGCUCGUGUCGUGAGAUGUUGGGUUAAGUCCCGUAACGAGCGCAACCCCUAUAUUUAGUUGCCAUCAAGUAGAGUUGGGCACUCUAGAUAGACUGCCGGGGAUAACUCGGAGGAAGGUGGGGACGACGUCAAAUCAUCAUGCACCUUAUGUCCUGGGCUACACACGUGCUACAAUGGCCGGAAACAAAGGGUAGCGAAGCCGUGAGGUGGAGCUAAUCUCAUAAACCCGGUCUCAGUUCGGAUUGUGGGCUGCAACUCGCCCACAUGAAGUCG